UAUGAUGCUUUGACUCUACGUCUUAUUUAAAAAAAAUUGUAAUUAAAAUUUUUAUUGUUACUAUAUGGUAAAAUAUGAAUAGUAUUUUAUGCGUGACUAAUUUUUUUAUGUUUUUAUAUAAUUUUUUUAAAUAAGACGAAUGGUCAAACAUUGGACACG
rnacentral:pre_miRNA from 1 species